CACUGCGAGCGGGUCAGGACUCUGCACUCCGAAAAGCUCCUCGGAAGCUGAUGGAAGUCAGCCCGGUGCCAGGGGGAUGGAGGAGUCGGGUUUUGCAUUAUUCAGUUCCCAGCUGGUGACAGAGGUAAAUUCCUGACCGCGCUAGCUCAUAGCGCAGGCAGGAGCCAAGCUUCUGCCCCAGGUUUUUGCAGAGGGGGGCAAACACUCAGCUUGAAGGAAGCCAAAUGCAACAAGAUGAACAUGGAGCAUGGCUUUUGACCUCUCCCUGCUUCUUCUUGGAGUUUGUUGGCAUCUCAUUGUACUGGAGGGGGGGUUUCCCUCCAGCUUCUGGAACAGAGUAGUGACCAGGAUUAUGCUCAAAAACCUGCAAAGAUUAAUCUGUGAAGACCGUGCUGUGGCCUCACGGCAUGCAGAAGUGCUCCAGAGUCCAAACAGCCUGGAGAUUUUCCAGGGAAAAAGCAGAGGGUGGUGACCCCACCAGGCUUUUGCUGGAGUUUUCCUACCAGGCAGGGGAGAAGGCGGCAGUAAGGAGCCUGGCGUGGAGCACGGGGAAAUGGGAGGCAGGCCUCCCAUGUCCUACUUCGAACUGCCUCCGUUUGUCUCUGUUUCCCAGCCAAAACGUGGGUGUAAUUGUUCAGGCAGAGCAUGAAGCUCUAAAGCCUCGCAGUGGCUAAGGCAUAGCGGGGGGACAGCGUGAUGUCAGCAAGAAGCGAGCUGUUUUCCUCAGCGGCGGCAGAAUUAGCGAGCUAGAACCUCGGAAAGAGCAUUUCAGCUCCCCAGACGGGCAGGGGGACAGCCCCGCGUCUCCCCUUGCAGAAAGGCUUGUUGAGUUUUCUGUGCUGGGCACCUCGGAGCGCUGCAGGUAUCGCUCACGCUGCUGGAGCACUGCAGGGAGAGGGGCAGUGUGUUUGCCACGGGGAAGGGGAGGAAGGAGGGUGCAUGCUCACGGAGCAGGCCUCUUCCCACUUCACAGCGGCUGCCAGCAUCGCUUUUUUCACAGGCAGCUAUUUAACAGUCAACAUAAGGAAGCAUCCUGAGUAGAGAGCAGCAGACGAGGCAUAAAUUAGGCAGCUAACUACGGAUCACGGUUCCUACUCUCCUUUAAAAGGCAGGCCAGAUGUCUUCAGAUACUGUCGACUGCUAGUCGGCGAGGAGAAACCCUUUCAAGACCAGCUCGCUGAAGCCACAAUGUGCGCUCGAUUCGCUCGGCUGAGCGAGGAUCUUCCUUGGCUGAGAGCAGGAUCUACGCGCAGCUGAAAAUACGGUGGGAAUGAGUCAGUUCCUUGGAGUUUGUGUGGGAGGCAAAGACAGAGCUGUGGGUGGCUUCAAAGUGUUAAACAGCCUUUUAAAUUCAGGCCCGGAUUCUCAGAGGAAUAAGGAAACAGAGAUAUUCACCCAGCCUGGAUUCAGUUCCGUGCCUUGGGUCAGCCUUGAGAAAAUUGCUCUCCGAUAGUGGCAGCCACUUCCUUGGCGUGCAGGUCUGCCUGCUCCCCGGCCAGUCCGGCCUCAGAUGUAAUUAAGACAUGGGGUUAAACAGCAAACCCAGUUAGAUGGACCCUUACCUGUAGCAAGGCAGCACCUGGCCUUUCUCUGAUGGCUGCAGGCUGCCCCCGAGGCAAGGCAGAGCCCCCAGCCCCAGGCAGUGUCUGUCUGUCCAUCGCAUCUCACUUGAGCUGCCACAGGGAUUUCUGGUACCUGCUCGAAGCUGCUCGAAGCUUUCCUGCUCUGUUUCAGCCCGGAGCUUGCCAACCCCGUGGUCUAUCAUCACACCUCGGGGGUUAAAAGUGCUGAGAUCUGGUCCUGGGAGAUGGGGGACAAGGGAUGCCGUGAGUUAAAUCACCUGGCACAUUGGAAAUUCAGGCUCCAUCCAGUUACCUCCUGCCAACUCUUUGCCAUUCAGCCCCGUUCUCCUAUCGUCUGGUCAGCUCUAAAGAGGAUUUAUUGCUUUUACUGGAUCAGGCUCACCCUUCCAUUUAAGUGGAUUAAUGCGGGUUAGCUCCAACUUAGCCCCACACAGCAUUAGCCAAGUCAACAUAAAGUUCCCUACUACUGGCAGCGCUGUUGUUUUUUCCCUGCCCUGAUGAAUUUUUAAUGGCCUUUAUGUGCAAAAGCAGCUUUGCAAAAUCUUAGGCUCCUGCUUUCCAACUUCGAUGAUUUGGCAUGUGAAGAAUGCAAUGAAUAUUUAAACCUGCAGUUUGGCAGGGCCUAGGAAGCUGCUCUUUCGGGGACCGGCCAGGACCCGUGCGAAAACCCAGCGCGGAGAAAGAGCUCGUGAGGAUGCAGCAGUCUUCAGCCCUCAGCCCGAGUCACCCGGAGCCCACCGUUCUUUGCAUUCUUUUAAUUAGCCUCAGGACUCAUCUGGAGGAGCUGCACGCGGGUGGAGCUGCGGGUUGUUUGAUAGAUGACUCAGAUUGCUCUGCCGGCCGUAUUUUAUGAACGCCAAAGUAGCUGUUGAAGGCUGUUACGUACCGCUGGGACCUGGGUCCCCAUCCCUGUAGACAAUGUGCAACCAUGUGGUAACAAGCGCCGCCUGCAAGACCUUACCAUCAAGCCAGACGAGGCAGAAGGGGCAAAAAAGGAAGGGUGCCCCUCUCGUGCCCUCCUCGUCCAGCUGGGUGAGCUGUGGGUUCGCACACGCACUCGGGCAGCCACCCGUGAGCAGCUCACUGUAACCCCUCGUGCCCACCUCGAGCCCGCAGCGACAUCCAGGCACAUCGACUCGGCUUCGUCGGCUGUAAAAGGGCACCCGGCUCUGGAGCCGUGGCCAGAAAACCUCCAUCAUCCGCUCGAACACACAGGGACAGAUGCUGGAAUUGAGCCAAGACAACGCGGCUUUCAUCUCCGACAUGAAAGGGGGCUCCCUCUGACAUUUGGAGGCCCACUUUUUUUUUAAGAGCUGCUGUGCAAAAUGCAGCUCACACGAGCUCGAACGCUACAGAGGGGCAUGGCACCGAAACCUCCCUGGUAAAAACCUCUCUGUGAGCUCCUCUCUGAAAGGUGGAUGCAGGAGGAGCACCGUUGCCUUUGGCCAAGCAGCUGCUCCGUGUCUCAGCCAGCUCCUCCUGGCACCAGUGCAGCCCAGAAUGGGGUUUGGGGGUAGGUACCAGCAGGGAAAGGUGUUCAUUUCUUCGGAAAUGGCUCGUGCUGUCUGUCUCGGGUGGCUUUCUGGAGAUGCCGGAGUGUCUAAACGUGGGCAGCUCUGCGCUGUGUAGUUGCGAAGCCAAGCAGCCCUGCUGUAGCCAGUGGCUCUCUUCGCAUGUGAUCAGAUUUAGGAGGCUCCACGGGCUGUGUCGUUAUCUGCGUGCAGUAAUUUGUUAAGUCUGGCCUACAUAGUCAGCGGGGCUAUUCCCUUCGGGUUGUUAUUAUUAGCAGGACUCGGAGGUUUUAAGCCUUUCUGGAGCUCAGGAAUCUCUCUCAUCAUGCAAGCAGAAGCCUAAGGAAAUCUCUUGUAAUCAUUGACUACGAUAAUUUAAUUUCAGCGAUGGAAAGAUAGCCGGAUUGAUGCACGGGAGCGCGAGGGGAGAAAGAAAAAAGGUGGAAGCAGACUUCAAGCUGGCAACAAGCAAGAAGCAAAUCAUCCACCUACAGCACUGCGGAGAUGCAGCCAACACUCUCAGCUGAAUUAACAAAUUGUGAAGCAGACCCUUUAGCAGCUAGAGCCAGACUAAAAAAAAUAUAUAAAAACCCAACAACUCAGGGCAUUACUUGACACAUUUCUUUGCCCUGGUUGGGAAAACAUGUCACUUCCCUCCACGAUAUCGCUGGGAUAUGUUAAAACAAGUAUUCCACGAGCGAUGAAAACACCAAAGCUUGGUUUCCAAAGGAUGUGUCUGGCUGUUUGGGGGAGAUGUGUGGUGUAAACCUGAAGCUGCUCUCGUGGAGGGGAUUUUCAGAGCCCAGUAAAGCACAGCUGCCAGCCAAGAGCUCACCCCCAGGUAGGGCAUUCAUGACAGGUCUUGUCCCACACUGGUUUCCUGGUGUCUAAUCGGGGAUGAGCUCACGCUUUGCUUUGCUUCAGCAAGAGGGCUCACAGCUCUCUGUUUUACCCAGCUGAUAUUUUUCAUGAAGCCCAAAGGAAAUUAAUUUCUCCAGGACUUCAGUUUGGUUUUCACCAUCCAUGAGGUUCAAGAACCAUUACAGGGGCAGGACGAGCAGAAGAUUGAUUGUGCAAACACAAAUCCUUUAGAAACCAAGCCAGCGUUGAACCUGCGUGCAUCUUUUUACUCCAAGCUGUGAUUAAAUUCAAUGAGGCGCAGAGCCCAAGGACCCACGUCGUAAAACCCCAUACCUGCUGGCUUCAGCUAUCCACCGCCUGCUUCCAGAGACGCUGCUCAUCCACAGCUCCUGCUAGAGCCAGCUAAACAAAUUGGAAGUCUCAAACUGGGCUCUGAACAUCAGCUGAGGAGUUUCUGCAUCAAAUCCCCUAAGUUUCUGCAAUUAGGCUGACGUGUGUGUUUGGCUCGUGACUAAGGCCAAAAAGGUGCCACUCGAAUAGACUCUGAGGGCAACUCAGGCCGCAAAAUUUUUUUGUAUUUCUUCACCAGAGAUGGGAAAACACACAGCAGGGCUUUGCACAAAACUCAGACAAACACAACGAGGUCUGUUGGUAUUGCUCUAGGUAUUAGGCAGGCUCUCACAAAAGCAGCUGCCAAUAAUUAGUCUCCUAACUCGGUAUUUCAGAGCUGGUUAAAUAUUUACUGAAGCCAGUGGAAAAUCUGCCAUUGACCACAGUGGAGCCGAUAUUUUACACCCAACCAUCUAGGAAAUGUUGCGUGCUUCAGGAAGAAGGGCAGACAUUCAGCACCUCUCAGAACAAAGUCACUUUACCUUAGGAGCCUAAAUAUGGACUUUACACCUUCAGCUUAGACACCCAGUUUAUCCUAGAUUACAUUCACGGCUACAAUUUGAAAUUACCCAGUCCCAGAAAACAAAUAUUAGACAUCCCGUGCAGUGUCAGCAGUCUGACAAAUAAAGACAACAAUAAAUUUGCUUUCUUUUCACUACCCACGUCACAUCCUCAAUCUGUUCUGUGUCUCUUGACACACAGGAGGCUUGGGAGAACCUGUCCAACAGUAAGAGCACAAUGCCAUCUCAGCAGUAAGAAACCCGAGGUUCAACGAUUCGGAAGGGGGGAUUAAAAACCCCUGCCAAGAGGAGGUUUUGGAGGAGGAGACACCGCCAUCCGCAAAAUGGCUGCUGCAGGGCCGCAGCUCCUGAGCAGCGUCACAUUUGCCAGGCUAUCUGCAUGAAAAACAAGCUGGGAAAAAAACAAACAAACUAUCAACUCAGCACUACAGCAAUCCCCAGAGAAAACAGUAGAAGGGCUGUUACAGUAUUUUAGAAAAAUCAAAUACAUUUCAAAUAAAAAUCUGCUAGGCUUGAUGAAUAAACUCACAUCACUCUUCCAUUCAGUUGAUUUUUUUUUUCAAAGAGGCAUAUAAACUUUCCUGUUCGAGGGGAUAAAUCAAUGACAAACUGUCUGAUGUUGGGAAGAAAUUUCCUCUGCUAGCAGAUGAUUUCAAUACAGAGUUUCUUGUAUUCUCUGCCUUUGAAGUAUCUGGUACAGGCUGUGGUUAGAGACAGGAUAUCAGCCUGACGAACCCCAAAGACAUUUUCUUGUAGCUCAAAGUUCAGAUGGUCACAAACAGCAGUUGUUCUGGUUAGAAAAAAGUAUCACGCAUUUGCUGUGAGUUCAAAAGCUCUCUGCUCAGCACCUGGGUUUUCUGCUCUUCAUGCCACAUCUUUACAACCACUUCCUUCAGGAACUGGCCAUAAAAUGAGCUCUGAUGGUGACAGCUCUUAAAAUGUUAUGUAUGUGAGUGGGUUUGAAAACACAGUCCUUCCAGGGACGCCUCUUUGUUACAGGACCUUUUUCUCUUGUAUGUUAUUACAUAGGCACUCUUUCAGCCUUUUAAUCUUUGUAAUUCCAAGCUAAUAUCGGAAAGAAUCGCUGCCAGCUUGAAACCCAGUAAGCUGUCAAAAAUGAGUGAAACGUGGCUGCGGGAAUGUCCCUGCCAAUUUGUUAGUUUGAAAGGCAAAUCUGCUUGCUUUUUCUAGAUGCUUUUCUUUUUCUUUUCCAAGCUAGUUUGUGAAGAUCCAAGUGAACGAAACGCCCUGGCCAUUGGUCACAGGAAAAAAGCACGUCACAGCCCUUCAGAGCUCUCUGCGAAGACAGGGAUAAGUGUGAGGACUUUGCCCACCCCCAGGACUUUGCUCUCAGGCCCGUGGUGCUUUUGGCCAUGCGUGGAAGCACAACUGUGUCUCAGCCCUGCGGCAAAUGGCACGGCAAAAAGAAACUCCUCUGAGCAGAAAACAUCCCUUUGCUUCAUCCUACAGCUAUUUCUGUCUCUCCUUUGGAAGGCUUCCCAUGUCUGUGGCUGGCUGAACCACUUAAUGGGGUUCUGGGGUUUUCCCCGAGAUGAGGAGUUCACUGAAGGCUAUUCACCAAGCGAACAGAGAAAUCCUGCAGCGAUACCCAAUACUUGGGGCCACUGCACUGAAAACCCCAUUCAUUGUUGCCAAGCCACCGGGGUCAGCCACACGGCUGGAGUUUUACCUGCUUAUUUGUUUAUUUAAUGAGUAACUAUCACUUUGGAGCUCACGUUGGUAAUUUCAGAUUUCUGCUCCCAGAGGGUACACAAACACACACGUGUGUGGAUGUGUACACACGUUUCCUGCCUGGCAGCCUGAGCCGUGGCGUGGCUCUGAAUGCUCCUCUCAGAAGCACAGACCACCAGGUGGAAACCACGGGGGGUACCUCAGCUCCAGCAUCGGCCCCAUACCAAUGCACCACUGCAUACCCUUCAAAAAAAAAAAAGUGGUUUGUAUUUCUCCUUCUAUUUCAUAUCUGGAUUGAACCAUGUAUCCAGCAUCUCCAUUCAGUCCUAGCCUCUACUCUGUCUGGUUUAGCUACUCGGGGUUUUCUGCUACAAAUUUAUUGGGAUUUGAAUUUUGCACUGUUUAGACACAAGAAAAAAAAAAAA